CUAAAAGAAGUAGUGGCUUGUGCCUGCAAUUCCUGGUAAUUCAUACACUGAUAGAUAUGACUCAUUCCAUAUUUUUUGUUUAUGUUUUUAUAUUCAAUUUCCUUAGAUCUGUGUCAUUGUGUAGUUGAACUUUAAAUCCUUAGGAAUGAAUUACUUUUAUAAAAAAAAAACCUAAAGUUACUUGGCUCAAUACUGGUAGCCAGAAAGUUGGAACCAUUUGCCCUAAUAUCUAAUAGCACAGAAGCACAAGGACUAGCCUUAUGCACACAGAGCCCAAUAGGAGGUCAGAAGCCAGCAAACGGCGAGAAGUCAAUUCUUGAGUAAAUGAAUCUAAGCUUAGGAGACUUGAUGCACUUCCUAGAACAGCAGUAAUCUUUCCCUUAGAGUGGACUUAAUUACCUUCACAGGGUAUCUAUCCUGAAGGGGCUCAGUGGACCUUGAAAUGGAACCUUUCAAGAUAAAUCACAUCCAAGCCACAGUGGCACUGAUGUGUGUGUGUGUGUGUGUGUGUGUGUGUACACAUGUACAUAUGAUAUAUUGGACACUGUGUCUUACAAUCUGUUUUACUCUCCAAAUAACUGAAAUGCUACCAUUGAUCUGUUUUACACACACACACACACACACACACACACACACACACAUUUAUGUCUCUGCAUACCUACACAGCUCCUACAUACAGAUAUUCUUUAUCUUCCAUAGAUUUUUUUCUUCUAGGCAUUGAAAUAGGGCAGGUAGCUCUUGUUCCUUCAUGCAGCAGGUGUCAGAGCUUCACCAAGCCAGACAAUAUCAGUAAGUAUUUGAUAGUGUCUAGAAAAUGAGUCUUAACUUUUUUAAAGAUUUAUUUAUUGUAAUAAACACACACACACACACACACACACACACACACACACACACACUAUAGCUGUCUUCAGAUGUACCAGAAGAGGGUGUCAGAUUUCAUUACAGAGCCACCAUGUGGUUUCUGGGAUUUGAACUCAGGACCUUCGGAAGAGCAGUCAGUGCUCUUAACUGCUGAGCCAUCUCCAGCCCAGUUUUAACUUUUCUUAUUCCACCCAAGUCAUGAUCCUACAUUUUAUAUUCCAGUGUAUUCUCUCAUCCAGCACAAAUGUGGAAUAUAUUAUCUAUCAGUUAGCUUUAGGGUUUUGUUUGGUUUCUCUGAUCCCAGAGCUUUAUUCUGUAAUUAAUAACUCAUAACUCAUAUGUUCGUCUAACUUAGAGGCAAGUUUUGUAGUUCCCCAAGGCAUAGGCUGUAUGAAUUGAAGCACUUUAAAAGUUGGGAAGCUGGAUAGCUCUUUAGUAUAGCUAAGGAGGGUAGUUCCAAUAUCUAGUUUAUAGCUCUGGUAAGCUUUGCGAGCCUUGCCAGGAAAUAUUGGGUCAGAAUAUAAGCCCUGGUCAGAAACACAUGUAUCCCCUCCACACACAGUAAUCCCAAACGCAAGUCCUCCAUUCCAGUAGGAGCAGCUUGCACAAUCUAGAUGAUCAUUAUAUUCUCAAAAGAAGAAUCAGCUAAUUGACAAAGAGAAAACAAAACUUUCCCAAGCAAAGCUUUUAAAAGUAUUGGAUCAACAAAGCAGAAAAAAAAAAAAAAAAAAAAGAAAAAAAGAAAAAAAACGGUCUUAAGUGAAUGUCAAAGCACUCAAAAUUCUUGUUCUUAAACUUUAUCUUUUAGAAAUCCUGCCUUGAGCCAAAGACCCAUUUUUUCCCCCUCACUCUUUAAACCAGUUUAGAUAUUUAUACUGGCAACACAGUAAUGUAUGAGACAGGAAUUGAAAUAGCUAAUAUUUGAAGCUUUUAAAUAUAAGGUGGUUUUGGUGGUUUGAAUAUGCUUGGCCCAUGGGAAGUGGUGCUAUUAAGAGGUGUGGCCUUGUUGGAGGAAGUGGGUCACUGUGUAGUUGCACUUUGAGGUUUUCUGCUUAAGCUCUACUGAGGGUGGAAAAGAUUCAGGGUAGAAAACAGAGUCCUCUCCUGGCUGCCUUUGGAUCAAGGUGUAGAACUCUCUGCUCCUCCAGCACCAUGUCUGCCUGGAUGCCGCCGUGCUUCCUGCUGAGACCAAGCAUCUGGAACUGUAAGCCAGUUCCAAUUAAAUGCUUGCUUUUGUAAGAGUUGCCUUGGUCAUGGUGUCUCUUCACAGCAAUGAAACCCAACUAAGAGAGUGGUUGAUGAAAAUAGAUAUGAGAGGUCUUGAAUGAGAUGGUUAUGACAGAGGUAGGUAAAUUAACAUGGUGUGAUAGUCAGAGCUAUUUAGAAGCUGGUAGAAUGAAUAUAUAUUUGAAAUGGGCUGUACAUCUCUCUGACUGUGGAGUGCAAAAUGGCUGGCUGUGUGUCAGAGGCUGAAAACUCGACGGCUGCUCAGUCCAUGAAUCUGGGUGACUCAGGGGUUCCAACCCGGUGCUGAAAGCCUAGAGAAUUUCCUGGAAAUCCACAGGUCCUCAGUGCAAUGAAAGGCCGGAGAAGCUGGGUUCUGAAGCAAAGGGUGGCAGCGGUGGACUAGCCUGCUUUCUACAUAAUGAAUCACUUCUGGCUGUUUUCUCACAUCUGGAAUCCCACCUCUUGAUAAAGAUUGAAUUCAAGAUGUCAGUCUUGGCAGUGUGUACCUUCAUUCACUGAUCCACCACACUUCCCCCAGCUGGAAAUUUAGUGAGACAUUGCAUCAUACACAAGAAACCUGAACCCUGAGAACACUUCAUCCUUAAGACCAGUCCAUCCACCCUUCUGGGUUUCAUGCUGUUUGAGCCUCCUUGUGACACCUAUUGGCUUGGCUUGACCUAUAUAGUUUCCUGGAUCCACUAUUCCAAUCUAGCUUUUUGCUGAAGAAUUUUUUCCCCUCACAGUUCACAAAUUCAGAUGUGCCAAGAUAUGGCUUUAUUCUCAUACAAUUGUACUUACUUCCUUUUUUGGGUCAUGAAUUUUCCCUAUAGAUAGAAAUUUGGCUUUAUGUUAAGGUCUUUCCUUGUCCACGUCAUUCUUCCGGGGACACAUUGAAAAGCAGGUGACUGUUAGGGUAGAUUGAGUUCAGUUUGAGUUGUAUUUGACCCAUUUGCAUUCUCUGACUUCUUCCCUCUGUUCUUUGGUUUAAAUAAAGGUGUUUUAUCAUGGUGAAA